UUGAACGCUGGCGGCAGGCCUAACACGUGCAAGUCGAACGGUAACAGGAAACAGCUUGCUGUUUCGCUGACGAGUGGCGGACGGGUGAGUAAUGUCUGGGAAACUGCCUGAUGGAGGGGGAUAACUACUGGAAACGGUAGCUAAUACCGCAUAACGUCGCAAGACCAAAGAGGGGGACCCUCGGGCCUCUUGCCAUCGGAUGUGCCCAGAUGGGAUUAGCUUGUUGGUGGGGUAACGGCUCACCAAGGCGACGAUCCCUAGCUGGUCUGAGAGGAUGACCAGCCACACUGGAACUGAGACACGGUCCAGACUCCUACGGGAGGCAGCAGUGGGGAAUAUUGCACAAUGGGCGCAAGCCUGAUGCAGCCAUGCCGCGUGUAUGAAGAAGGCCUUCGGGUUGUAAAGUACUUUCAGCGGGGAGGAAGGGAGUAAAGUUAAUACCUUUGCUCAUUGACGUUACCCGCAGAAGAAGCACCGGCUAACUCCGUG
rnacentral:rRNA from 1 species